AGCAGAUGUCUCAGAGUCUGAGGUUAGAAGCACUUAAGAGCUAAGAAAAGGCCAGGACGAUGUGCAGCGGGAGGGGCUCUGAGCCCGUGCCCAGAGCGGUUCGGAGGAGCUCCAGCAGCCUCGGGGGGCUCUGCUGCUCCCUGCGCUCUUUCCCAGCGCUCCGAUCAGCGAUUUCAAACCGGUGUGGUUAAACUCGGGAGCGAACCGCGCCGGAGCAGCGCGUUCCGUGCCGCGGAGGCACCUGGGGACAUCACUUGGAGGUGCUCUGUGCUCAUGUCUGCAGCACAGAGCUGGCAGAGGGUGACUUUGCCUCUCAGAGCAUCGUGAGUGGCACCGUGACAGCCUGCAAGUGGUCCCUGGACAGGAAGCUGCAGCGGCCGCUCCUGGGCAAGUCGCGGACGCUGCCCAGCAUCCCGCAGUCCCCGGUGCUGAGCCGGCUGCCCCUGCUCGAGCCCGCCGCCUACCGGGACGAGAUGCCGGAGCAGAAGCCCUUCCAGAAGCACUCGGCCUCCGAGCACCAGAAAGGCUGCACGGUGCCUUCUGCCGGGGAGGCCUGGCGGCUGGAGGAUGACUGCUCGGAGCCGCCCAGGGCCCCCCAGCUGGGCACGGCUGUGGAGGACGCCCCGUUCAGCUACUUCCGCACGCGCUCCUUCUACAUGAGGAAGAGCCUGUCCGUGGACAACCACCUGGGCUCGCUGAGCUACGCCGUGCACCCGGCCGAGAGCAAGGCCGAGCGCGUCAGGACCAAGCUGCGGCGGCAGUUCUUUGAGCCUUGGUCCCUUCUCCUCCCACUGCCAACUCUCUUCCCAGCCCUGGGUCCUGAGCCAGCUCCCGGUGAUGCUGCCCCAUGGACGGGGAGAGCCCUGCCUGGAGGAGGAGAUGGAGACUCCAGGGGGACAUGGGAGGGUGGGGUGGUCUCCAAGAGACCCUCAGCCCAGUGUGGAACCUCUCUGAGCAGAGCUGCCCAGGUGUGAAGUAUCCUUCUGCUGGCACAAUAAAUUGCAUUUCCAGUCCUCUUUGGGGGCCUGU
ensembl:lncRNA